UACGUAGGGGGCAAGCGUUGUCCGGGAAUCAUUGGGCGUAAAGCGCGUGUAGGCGGCCCGGUAAGUCCGCUGUGAAAGUCGGGGGCUCAACCCUCGGAUGCCGGUGGAUACUGUCGGGCUAGAGUGCGGAAGAGGCGAGUGGAAUUCCUGGUGUAGCGGUGAAAUGCGUAGAGAUUAGGAAGAACACCAGUGGCGAAGGCGAUUCUCUGGACUGUAACUGACGCUGAGGCUCGGAAAGCGUGGGGAGCAAACAGG
rnacentral:rRNA from 1 species